GACGAACGCUGGCGGCGUGCUUAACACAUGCAAGUCGAACGGAAAGGCCCUGCUUUUGUGGGGUGCUCGAGUGGCGAACGGGUGAGUAACACGUGAGUAACCUGCCCUUGACUUUGGGAUAACUUCAGGAAACUGGGGCUAAUACCGGAUAGGAGCUCCUGCUGCAUGGGGGGGGUUGGAAAGUUUCGGCCGUUGGGGAUGGACUCGCGGCUUAUCAGCUUGUUGGUGGGGUAGUGGCUUACCAAGGCUUUGACGGGUAGCCGGCCUGAGAGGGUGAACGGGCACAUUGCUACUGAGAUACGGACCAGACUGCUACGGGAGGCAGAAGUGGGGAAUAUUGCACAAUGGGCGGAAGCCUGAUGCAGCAACGCCGCGUGCGGGAUGACGGCCUUCGGGUUGUAAACCGCUGUCGCCUGUGACGAAGCGUGAGUGACGGUAAUGGGUAAAGAAGCACCGGCUAACUACGUG
rnacentral:rRNA from 1 species